GCCAGUGUGGGCACUGGGGGAGGGGGCCACGCGGUGCCGAGAGCCCGCAGCUGCAGGGAGGCUCCCAGGCCUGGCUGCGCUGCAAACUCCUGCUGGCUCAGCUCUGCUCGGGGCUGACUCACCUUCCCUCUCCCACCUGUUCCCCUUUCACAGCCCUCCCACCUGCCUCCCUCCUCGUGCCGCUCCUCUGAUCCCUCACUCCACUCCGGCUCCUGCGGCGCUGACGGAGCGGGGUGGGGGGAGUUGCUGCGUCUGGGGGUGUAAGAACCUUAGAUGUCACGGAGCUUGGAAUUGUGCCAACGGGCAGGCUGAAGGGGCCUUAAAGUGCUGCCAAGCCCUCCUCAUGCCACACCAGCUUCCCUGCAGAGCCAGGAUGGGGACCCCGAUGUCUGCCCUGUGGGCUGGAGCAGGCGGCGACUCUGUCCUGGCUGUGAGAUCUCCUCCACCGCCCCUGACUCCUACCCUGUCAGGCCCACCCCCAGUCUCUUAUCACCGCUGGAGGGGAAUCUGAGCAAUCCCCUACGGGGUGACAACCUGCAACUACAUGGCAUCGUGCACGUGGAUCCACUGCAGCAUGGAGCGGGGUCUGCAUCAGGAAAGACACUCCUCCUCUUCCCCCGGCCGCAGGCUGGAGUGCAGUGGCGUGAUCUCGGCUCGCUACAACCUCCACCUCCCAGCCGCCUGCCUUGGCCUCCCAAAGUGCCGAGAUUGCAGCCUCUGCCCGGCCGCCACCCCGUCUGGGAAGUGAGGAGCGUCUCUGCCUGGCCGCCCAUUGUGUGGGAUGUGAGGAGCUCCUCUGCCCCGCUGCCCCGUCUGGGAUGUGAGGAGCGCCUCUGCCCGGCCGCGACCCCGUCUGGGAACUGAGGAGUGUCUCUGCCCGACUGCCACCCCAUCUGGGAGGCUGAAUAGUAUUCCAUGGUGUAUAUAUACCACAUUUCCUUGAUCCAUUCAUCCACCGAUGGACAUUUUCAGUUGUUUCCACAGCUUGGCUAUUGUGAAUAAAACUGCAAUGAGCAUGGGGUGCAGAUGUCUUUUUGACAUACUGAUUUCAUUUCCUUUGGAUACACACCCAGUAGUGGGAUUGCUGGAUCAUAUGGUAGUUCUAUUUUUAUUUUGUUUUUGAGGAACCUCCAUACUGUUUUCCAUAAUGGCUAUACUAAUUUACAUUCCCACCAACCAUAUGCAAGGAUUCCCUUUUCUUCACGUCCUCUCCAACACUUGUUAUAUCCAAGAUGUAUUUCUAAAGAUCAUUAUCUAUAUAAUUUCAUUAAACAAAAUAUUUUAUAUGAAGGACAAAUGACCUGGUUUCCCCAACUAACAAAUUGCAAGGAAAAUAGAAGAGAUAGAGUAGGAACCUAUAGAUUGAAUGAGAUUUAAGAGACAUUGAGGCCAGGCACGGUGGCUCACGUUUGUAAUCCCAGCCCUUUGAAAGGCCGAGG
rnacentral:lncRNA from 1 species